ensembl:lncRNA
GCCGGCGGAGGGAAGGGAGAGGAGAGGAGAGGAGAGGAGGGAGGCAGCGGGGCGGGGGCGGCCGAGGGGCCGCACCGCAGGUGUCCCGGGUCAGGGCAACGCUCGGCGGCCGCGCCUCGGCCGCUUUGUCUGAGCUGAGGCGAUCCCGGCGGGCUCAGGCUGUGGCCCGCAGGAACAGCCCCGCGGCAGCGCUCAGUCCCCGGCAGCGGCAGGCAGAAGGGCCCCGCGGCUGCGGGGCUGAGCCUCCGGGCUCGGCCCUAGGGCUGGGGGAGGGAUGACGCGCAGUGAAAGCAGGCAUGAAAGCAGAUUAACUGCUACAGGCGGAGGGUGAGCACUUCUGCUGUGGCGAUGGUGUUACAUCAGUCGCCUGACCGCGAGACGCUGCUCUCCCUCUCCAUCAAGAUGUUUGUUUCUGAUCUGGUUUGGGCUGGCAUAGAUAUCUUCUCAGUAGCCUGUACAGUGCCGUGUUCCUGAUUCAGGAUGACAAUAAUGUUGAUAAUACACCGAUGCUUUGAUUUUUGCUAAGUCGCGUUUAUCCUGAGGGCUCUUUUCUGUGUCUGUGUGUCUGUCUCAUGCUCUACCGGGGAAAAGGUACACAAAAGAGACUAGGAGGGAGCAUAGCCGUGACAGGUGACCCCAAACUGGCCAAAGGGAUAUUCACCCUUUUUAUUUGUACUUUGUUUUCAAUUAUUAAGCUGUUCUUAUCUCAGCCUACAUGUUUUAUGUUUGAUUCUCCUUCCCAUUGCACUGAGGGGGAGGGCGGGAGGAGGGGGGUGGCUGAGCGAGCAGCUGUGGUGCUCAAUUUCCGGCUGGGCUUAACACACCGCACUUUCACAUCCCCACAGCCAAGUUUUGUACCAAAAGUGUUUUAUCUCCAAGCGUUGCAACUACACGAACCUAGUGAUAUGAGAUGAUCUGAAGAGCUGCAGGUGACCAUGUUCUGGAUUACUGAUGUACAAUAACACCAGUGUUUCACUGCCAAGUUGUGCAGGUAAGGUGUUUUUAGUCUUGUCCUCACUGGUUUUCAAAUAUUGCUCCAUUUUGCUGAUAUGUUUGAGUGUGGUUCAGCCUUUCUCAGUUUUAAUCUUCAUCUUCUCAGGAGUUUGUUUUGAGUUUGUUUUGUCUUUCUGGUUUGUUUUGUGGGGGAUUCCUGCUAGGUUUUUGUUUGUUUCUUCAAAUAGCCAUAUAACAAUACCUUUACCAUCACAGACUGAAAGGCCUGGUUUUAUGUAAUCACUCAUUUUCCUCAAACAUCUCCUGGAAGUGUUAAGUGCACUGCCACACUCAUUCAAACCUGGGCAUAGCAGUUAGGUUGCAUAAUGCACUUCUCUAAAUCAACUUGAGCAGAUGGGAAGGAAAAUAGCUUGAGCUAGCACAUCACAACUCCCCUUGUGCACUUUUCAGAUGGCGGUGAAAGUGCUGCCUGGCAAUGCCCUACUGUCUUUAUUUUGUCCUCUUGAAUGAUAGAGACAGUCUAGCCUGAACAAGAAUUAUUUCUCCCACCUUUUCCUCUCCUCCCAGUUUGCACUGGGAGCACUGUACAACUACACUCUUUUAAAUAUUGCUUGUACGGUAAUUUUUCUCAGCCAUCACACAUUGCUUCAUUUCUACUGAUAUUUAGGCAAAAAAGAGAGAAGAUAAAUAAAAAAUUAAGUAAGUGAGAUAUAAACA